rnacentral:misc_RNA from 1 species
GCAAAUAUUAACCAUAGUUUUUGAAAGAGGAGUACAAGAACCAGAGCUUUUAUGCGUGGAAUAGCAGCAUUAUUAUUUUCUGUGAAUUACAAAUUAUAUCUUAUCCUCUUUGUUCUUGUUAUUGUUCUAAUUAUAUAAAUUCGAGAACUUUGUAUUUCUGAGAGUGAUAUGCUCUGCUACUUCAACUUCAAAGAAACAAGAGAGUAAUGAUUCUAGAGAAGGAGGCGAGUUUUGAAUCGAAUGACAGACCCUAUACAGCUUUCAUCAGACCAUCCUGCUUGCUCUCUCAUUUUCGAAAUGUGGUCGAGCCAUGACAGUGAUGAUGAUGAGUGAUUGAAGAUGCAAAGCCAUACUUUUUAAGUACGUAAGGAUCUUUGUUAGUGUUUCCUACCCAAAGUAUUUCUUUGAAAUGUGGAGAAGAAUGCUUAGAGCGAACACAAAUAGUCGAGCAACGAAACCCCAAAUUUUGACGUAGCCUCUCAGAAGUGGAUUAACAAUAGGUGCUAGAAGUCUGGAGUAAAUCUUUAGCAAGAACCGUACUAUGACGUGAGGACUCUUUAGGAACCCUGCACAAGUGAAAGAAUGGAAGUAGUAUGUUGUCAUCAUGCAAUGUGUUUUGUGCUAGAAGCUGUUUGGUUAAGUGAUAAUGAACAUGAACGUACAUUCUGCAAACUUUGGGAAAUCAUCGAAUAUUGCAGUCACAUUCUUUAACAGAGUCUGAAUUCCUCAAUGCAAGAAAGCCACGUGAAGAAGGAAACUAUGAGUUAAAAUCAGGUUAUGGUAUAUAUGGAGUAGAAGAAUUGUUCAAUUCUUGGCUAAAACAAUUAGGAAGCUAGAAGAUGUCAUUCUGGGUGCUUACCAGCACCAUGCCUCCUGGUUUGAUGGGUGAUUCAAUUACAACCCGAGCUUUCCUGCAGCAAAGUAUCAAUUAGUGAGAAGCUGAUGUUUCCUAAUGGACUGUGUAGGUGGAGCAUUCUAUUAAUUUGAUAGGUACUUUAUGACUAGUCGAUCGCCUUCUCGUGAGCAUUCAUAAAAGCUGCAUCCCCUGGUGAAAGGUAUCUGUCUCCUUUUCCAUUCCAUGUGCCAGUUUACUCCUGCUGUGAAUUUAUUAUCAUCUUCACAUACAUGUUCAAUGCUGAACUUCACAUUGUGGCCCAUGCCUGUGGUAAGCUGUUGAUAGAAAUGCAUAACCUCCUUUUUGCCUUGAAUUGGAGAAACAAAUGAGCAGUCCUCAAAGCAACAAUCAUCUGAAAUGUACUCAUCUAGUUCUUUUAACCUUUUCUCAUUAAUGCAGGUAUAGAAGUUCCUGAUCAUGAGUGCUGCAGAAAGCUGAUCAAAUGUAAUGUCUUCACUAUCUGCUGCUGAUGGCAUGAUCAAGUUGAGCCUCCAAUUGUCAAAUGGUUUGUUCAGUGUCUGCCUUCUUAAACAGAUUCCCUGCUGUCCCAUUUUCGUACUUCUAUGGGCAAACUGAGAUGACAGUUUAAAGGGCAUGGCUGCAGCCGUGGCGGCAGCCAUUGCUUUGAAGCAGAAGUUCGGCCGUGGGAUUUGGCCUGAGAAAAUGAUAGCAGAAGCCAUUUACUACUCCAAGAAUAAGAUGGGGAAGAUAAGAAAGAUCUUUAGACGUCACACAAGUGGAAAAGAU